AAUUGUAUGUGAUGAAAAGGUUCAAGUUUGGGGUUGCAUGGGGGAAACUGAAAGGCAAUUGAAAAAUUAUUGAGCUCCAAUGUUGUGAAAGAAAAAUACAUGAGAAAAAGAAAAGAAAAGAAUAAAAGCAUCAAGAUAAGCUCAGUGCAAAAGAAAAGGGGAAAAGUUGGGAAUAAGUGAGAUUGGUGAGGAAGAGAGUUGUUCUUGAAUGUUGAAUAUUAUGAUAGCUCUCUUAACUCAAGGACUUUACAUUCUAGAAAAACCAAUUUUCUUGUUAGCCCAGCCUCAUUACAAGCCUUGGAAAAGUCCUUUUGAUGGCAUUUGCAUGUUAGAAUUUUGGUUGUUUUAGAUGAAUGGCAAUUUUGUU
rnacentral:lncRNA from 1 species